AGAGUUUGACUCUGGCUCAGAUUGAACGCUGGCGGUAUGCUUAACACAUGCAAGUCGAACGGUAACAUAGAGAGCUUGCUCUUUGAUGACGAGUGGCGGACGGGUGAGUAACGCGUGGGAAUCUACCUAAUAGUUGGGGACAACCUGUUGAAAAGCAGGCUAAUACCGAAUGUGGUCUACGGACUAAAGCAGGGGAUCUUCGGACCUUGCGCUAUUAGAUGAGCCCGCGUUAGAUUAGCUAGUUGGUAGGGUAAAGGCCUACCAAGGCAACGAUCUAUAGCUGGUCUGAGAGGACGAUCAGCCACACUGGGACUGAGACACGGCCCAGACUCCUACGGGAGGCAGCAGUGGGGAAUAUUGGACAAUGGGCGCAAGCCUGAUCCAGCAAUACCGCGUGUGUGAAGAAGGCCUGAGGGUUGUAAAGCACUUUCAAUUGUGAAGAAAAGUUGUGGUUUAAUACGCCAUGACCUUGACGUUAACUUUAGAAGAAGCACCGGCUAACUCCGUGCCAGCAGCCGCGGUAAUACGGAGGGUGCGAGCGUUAAUCGGAAUUACUGGGCGUAAAGCGUGCGUAGGCGGUUAUUUAAGUCAGAUGUGAAAGCCCCGGGCUCAACCUGGGAACUGCAUUUGAAACUGGGUAACUAGAGUUUGGUAGAGGCGGGUAGAAUUCCUAGUGUAGCGGUGAAAUGCGUAGAUAUUAGGAGGAAUACCAGUGGCGAAGGCGGCCCGCUGGACCAAAACUGACGCUGAGGUACGAAAGCGUGGGGAGCAAACGGGAUUAGAUACCCCGGUAGUCCACGCCGUAAACGAUGUCAACUAGUCGUUGGGCCUUUCGGGGCUUAGUGACGCAGCUAACGCGUGAAGUUGACCGCCUGGGGAGUACGGCCGCAAGGUUAAAACUCAAAUGAAUUGACGG
rnacentral:rRNA from 1 species